CCUACGGGAGGCAGCAGUGGGGAAUAUUGCACAAUGGGCGCAAGCCUGAUGCAGCAACGCCGCGUGAGGGACGACGGCCUUCGGGUUGUAAACCUCUUUUAGUAGGGAAGAAGCGAAAGUGACGGUACCUGCAGAAAAAGCACCGGCUAACUACGUGCCAGCAGCCGCGGUAAUACGUAGGGUGCAAGCGUUGUCCGGAAUUAUUGGGCGUAAAGAGCUCGUAGGCGGUUUGUCGCGUCUGCUGUGAAAACCCGAGGCUCAACCUCGGGCCUGCAGUGGGUACGGGCAGACUAGAGUGCGGUAGGGGAGAUUGGAAUUCCUGGUGUAGCGGUGGAAUGCGCAGAUAUCAGGAGGAACACCGAUGGCGAAGGCAGAUCUCUGGGCCGUAACUGACGCUGAGGAGCGAAAGCAUGGGGAGCGAACAGGAUUAGAUACCCUGGUAGUCCAUGCCGUAAACGUUGGGAACUAGAUGUAGGGACCAUUCCACGGUUUCUGUGUCGCAGCUAACGCAUUAAGUUCCCCGCUGGGGAGUACGGCCGCAAGGCUAAAACUCAAAGGAAUUGACGG
rnacentral:rRNA from 1 species